rnacentral:lncRNA from 1 species
GGGACGUGCGGACAGAGGGAGGAUGUCCGUGGAGAGAGGGAAGCAGACAGGUGGCGGGGUUGGGGGGGUGCCCCUGGGUGGGAGGUCGGAGCUUCUGCCCCAGGAAGGGCCUCCUGGACCUGCCCGGGGGCGGGGGUAUCACCUCUUCCUCCUCUGAGUAGAUCUGGGCUUCCUUGUCCCUGGAAUCUCAUGAGGCUCUGGGAGGGCGUUUAGGGGACUGCUGAGUGACAGCUCGGGAAGAAAAAGCAGGGCUCGCAGACAAAAAGCACUUCAAAUUCCCACCAUCAACUUGCAGAGCAUCCUGGGACCUGCCUGCAGGGCCUCAGACAGCACCCCCACCCCGGCCUUGGGGGGCUUCUGGGUUCCGUCCCUCCUAGACCCCCAACUGGGCCUGCAUGGACCCCUUUGGUGCCGGGUCCUUUUGUGGACCCCUGCCUCUCCAGGGGCAGAGAGCGAUUUGCUCAGACUGAGGAGGCACCGGACCCAGCAAGGCCGAGGAGGGGUGCUGGUGGGAGCAGGAGACCCCCUCUCUCCCCUGGCCUGGAGAUCAGGCGGCCUCUGGGUGGCCGGCGGGAGGUGUGGGAGCCUGCGGGCUCUGGGAGAGACCAUGGUCCAGGGCCCGUCUGGGGUGCGAUAGAACAGGUGGUCGUCUGGGUCCUACCUCUGCCUGGGGCUCUGGCUCCCAGGUGGGGCGGGGCCCGGUCUUUCUGCUCCCCCAUGAGCUCCCAGGGCAGCACCUGCAUGUGGAGAUGGGCGUGCGGAGGCGGGGAUGACGAUGUCGGGGGAGGCCCACCCCGGCCAUUAGCCUUGGUUAACGGGCCGCUGGACAAGGGCAGAGACUCCAGGGCCAAUCCUGGCUGCACCUCCCCCCCGACCCGAGCUGACCGCGGUCCCUUCACUGGAUCCAGCGGUGUCCUCCCAUCCACCUUCCCCAGAACCUGCCUGGCUUGGAAACGGUGUCCUUUAUCCCCCGGGGCAGAGUUGGAGGGGCCCCGCCUCCACGCAGGGAAUGGCCUCCACCCCCAGGAGGCCCUGCUUUUUGUGCUGCAGCUGUGCCCACUAGAAGGGCUGCCUCGUGGGGUGUCCUCCGACCCCCCCACCCCCAUGCGGCUCUCCAACACGAGGGCAUUUGCAGCUCUCGGAUGUGAGCGGUUUCCUGGGAGACACUGCCUGUGUCCUUCAGAGGGGGUCUGGGGUUUGGGGUACCUGCUUCAAGGGAAGGGGAGGCAGGACCUGGAGGGGGAGAGCCAGCUCCAGGGGCGGGGAGCCGGGGGGCUUACCCCUCCAGAGCCGUGGCUCCCCUCUGUGUAUGGGGGAGGGGGCCUCAGAGGCCAGGAUCUGGGCCUUCCCCGUGGCUGCCUCUGUGCAGACCUGUGUCGCAUCCCUCCCCAAGAAGGCCUUCCGAGGACUCAGGCCCAGGGCUCAGCUGACCGCCAGGUCCGGGUUCCGUGUCACGCUGGGCAAAGUCACACACAGGCUGGCCAUGUGUCCACACCUGACCCUGCACUGGGUUGGGAACCCAGGGGACAAGCCCCGUGGAUUCGGAUGUGCUGGGGCCUCUGUGCUUGGGUGGGUCCAGCUGCCCAGCUGGGAGGCCACGUCUGGGGGUGACCCGUCGGCCCCAGUGAGGCUGCCUGGCUGUCGUCCAGGGCCACGCGGACCCGAGUCUCUUCCCAGGGGGAGAAAGAAUGACCUGUCACAUCUGUGCCUUACGACCCCCACCCCAGCCUGGCAGCAACGUGGAGCCAGGAUGGACAGAGGGGAGAGCGUGGUAAAGGCUGGGACAGUGACAGUGAGGGCCCAGGAUGGUCAGGGUGCCGGGCAGGGGUGGGAGGACGUGGCGGCCAUGGGCACAGAAGUAGGAGAGUGGCUGGACAGGGUGGGGGCAGCCCCGCAAAGCAAGUCCCCUCCUAGGUGUUCUAAGGUCCCCCCAGGCCCUGCCGGGCGAGUCCUGCCCUGUCCCCCUAGCAGAGCAGCCAGGGGCUGGGGGUCCUGUCUGCACUAAGUCCAUGCCGGGCCUCGCUUCUCUGGCCGAGUGUCCAAGUGAGGCCACCCCCCGGGCUUCUGGGACUGGAAGGUCAUCCUUUAGCUACAGACCUCCUGCCGCCCAGAGAGAGGGUGGGGGAUGGCGACCCCCACCUUGUCCCCCGCAGGCCGGUCCCUUUCCGCUUCCUGAGAAGAGCCGAGGCCGUUCCUGGAGUCCCCACCCAGCGCUGCCCGAGGCCCUGCAGCCCCGGGACACGCGGAGUGCGCGGCCGGCCGUCGGGAGCUCUCCAGGCUGAAAAGGCCCUUUGACACCCGCACAUAAGCCAUCACAUUGUUACCGGCCACGCCAGAAGCUGUAAAUACUCCGGGAAAAAGCCCUCUUUGUUGACGCAGUUCUGGGAUCUGGGGCCUUGCAGUUUUUACUGCUCUGGAUUAAGCUCAAUCAGGCCUGCUGGAAAGAAGGGGCCGACACUCCUGAGAGCUGAGUCCCUCCAGAGGCCCCCACGGAACCCCCCUGGGAAAGGGGGCUCAUUCCCUCCCCUAAGGCCGCCACUCUCCAUAAGAAGCCCACGGACAACCACGGACCGGCCCCGUGUGAUGCCAGGGUGCCCCAAGGCCGGCACACGAGCCUUCCCCGCUGGUCGUGCCCGGAAGCCAGACACGGACCCACAGUCAAGUUUCCCGAGAGACAGGGCUGCCCUGCCCCCGCACGCCAGGCCUGCUCUCGGCACCCAGGGCUCUGUCCACCCUGCCGCCGCCAGGAGUGUGUUUCUCAGAAUGGCUGGAAACACAGGGGAGCCACUGCUAGGUAACAGAAGCACAGGCAGCAAGGGGAGAGUCCAUAACACCAUGAGCCCUGCUUAAAAAAAUAAAAUGGAAUUUUCAUUUGUUUCUCCCCAGGCCCCUGCAGGGCGAGGUUCUGAAUGAAGGCAGGUGAACAGAGAGGCUAAAGGGCUGAUUUCUGGGUAACGAGAAGCUUUGCCCCAUCAGAGGAGGGCGCCUGGGGGCGAAGCACUGUUCUAGGACCCCGGCCUGGGGGUUGGUGGCUGCAGGGCACGGUGGGGCCUACCGGGCUGCCACCCCCCAGUUCCGAGGGGAGGGGGGCCACCGAGAGACCUCUCUGGCCCUGCCCGCAGGCCGCAGGGGCUGCAGCCCGGUAGGCCCAGGAGUCACAGUUCUUUUCAAAUUCUGCUUUUACAAGGAGCGUGAGAUUUAUAGGCUCUUGAGGGGAAGAAAAUGAUAUAACUUGCUUAACAGGCCGUUUAUUCCAGGCCCUGUUUCCUCCACCUCUAAGCUCUGCAGGCGCCCUGGUGAGCGCGCGGCCUUGACAGAGCCCCUCACUCCCGCGUCCGUCUCGCGGACACACGAGCCCCCCGCCCCGCACACCCCCCACCACUCACGUGUGGGCGGACGCACACACAGAGUGCCCCCACCCCCCGACCCUGUGCAGGCCUCAUGGUGGACGCUUCCACAUGCUUCCACACGCUUCUGCCCUCAACCCUCCCUCCCCUGAUUUCCCGCUUUCUCUUCCUUUGUGACACCCCUGAGUGUCCCACACGGGCCCCCUGCUGCCUCCUGGCAGGUGACAAGCGCCAAGCCCUGACCUGGCCCCUCUUGGAGCUGAGACGAAGGUGCCCGGGGAAGGAGGACAUGGCUCCUGGGUGGAUCCCCGCCUGGCUAGGGGAGUGGAGGUGCGCGCAGGGAGGUGGCCAGCACGGUGCCCUCUGCACUGUGACCGCCCCCCCCACACCCGCCUGGGCCCCGUGGUACCCGGCUCUGCUCGAGGGCCCGGCUGGUGGGCUCAGAAGCUCUCCCCUCCUGGGGGGCUGGGCUGGGUGGGCAGGGCCCUCAGCCACCUGCACUUGGGGAGAAGCCUUGGAGCGAUCGAUGGAGGUCAAAGGGCUGGACCUUAUCUCAGGAGGCCCUUGGCGCGGUCGGAGGGCGGCGGGCUGCUCACAACGUGAGCUCGUCCUGGGGACAGGCGGGCCCAUCGGCACCAGCAAGGCCCAUUCUCUGCCUGGCUCGGGGUCAAGGCGGACCCGUGCAGACGCCGUGCCCUGCGGUGAUGAUAACAGGGACCGGGCCCCCCAGAAAGGAGGUGGUUCCUCAAGAACACGGGUGCCUGGGCCUCCAGGCCCUGUGCCCCCCUGGAGGAAGCCCCAGCCCUCGGGCUUGCAGACACCCAUCCCCGCUCACCUCACACACCGACACGCUCCCCGCACACGUGUGACCACACACGCACACACACCCCCACCUCUGAGUGGGACCACACAAAGCCAGUGCCUCACGCCCCAGGUCCCAGGGACGGGUGGGGUCUGGUCCCGAACAGAUAACAAUUUAUUUUCCUGUCUUGGCCCGUUUGGGUUUUAAUGCGGCAUCUUCCCGAGGCGCUGCAGUGCAGCCAAGCGACAGUAGAGGGCGACGGUGGACACGCUGCCCUGCUCUGCGCAGGAAAAAGGAAGUGGGUCUCUCCAGGUGGUACCUGGCUGUGCACCUUCCUCUAGGGGACAGCCCUGUCGCUCCCUCCUUCACGGCCACCUGCCACUCGUGGCCACGUUGCCGACGGGGAUGAGGGCUGCCCCGGGCCCUCUGCGGGGCGGUGCAGAGGUCGGACGGUCCCUCGGUCCAACCCAGCUGGUCACGCCUCGUCUUCCUGCACUGAGGGCAGAAGAUGCAUAGCUCCGUGCAGGAGCCGCCCGGAGCCCUGGGAGAAGCAGGUCCCUGCCCAGGGAGGAUGGCUUCUUGUGCCCAUGGGUGGCUGGGGAGAGCUGAGGAAAAGCCCUCCCUCACCCGGAGUGGCAGCCGGCCCUGCCCCCCCACCGGGGAAGCCCUAUCCCUGGGCCUCAGUUUCCCCACCUGGCCAUGGGGCUGGGGCAUCCGACAAGUGCUCAGAGACCUCCCUGCCCCCUUCCCACCCCUGCAGCCAAGGGCCCGUCAGCGAGGGGCCUGUCCCCACGCACCCUGGGGGGCUUCCCACUGCCCCCCUAUAGUGUCCCUCAGCCGGGUCUUCUCAGCGGGACCAGGAGGUCAGCCCUCCCAGGCCGGAGGAGGCUGGACCGUCCAGAAUAAAGGCCGCGCUUGUCAGAAGGAAAGAGUGGCCCCUGCUGACUCGUCCUCGGAUGCCGAGCCUGACUGCCGGGGUGAUGGGGGGCUGCUCCAGUCCAGACCCAGGCUCCCCCCGCUGUCCUGCUAUGGGGCGGUGGGGGACUCGGGCCGAGGCCCUGGGGGCCCUGGGGCCCCCAACGGCGCCCGUCCCCCCCCCCGCCCCCCCGUGUGCUCUGGAGGAACCCUCUCCUCCUGGUUUCCCCGACAGACAUCAGGUGGGACGGUGGGGUCAGAACUCCGAACGGGGCCCCGUCUUGUCUGUCACCAUUUGUGGCCUUAAAAGGGUAAAUGAAUUAACCACAGAGCGGGUCU